CUCCGGUUGAUCCUGCCGGACCCGACUGCUAUCAGAGUGAGAUUAAGCCAUGCGAGUUAACGUAGCAAUACGUGACGCACGGCUCAGUAACACGUAGUCAACAUGCCCAGAGGACGUGGAUAACCUCGGGAAACUGAGUCUAAACCGCGAUAAGUGAGGAUUUCUGGAAUGGUUCCUGACUAAAAUCUAUAUGGCCUCUGGAUUGGACUGCGGCCGAUCAGGCUGUUGGUGAGGUAAUGGCCCACCAAACCUGUAACCGGUACGGGCUCUGAGAGGAGAAGCCCGGAGAUGGGUACUGAGACACGGACCCAGGCCCUAUGGGGCGCAGCAGGCGAGAAACCUUAGCAAUGUGCGAAAGCACGACUAGGUUAAUCCGAGUGAUUUCUGUUGAAGAAAUCUUUUGUCAGUCGUAAAACCACAGACGAAUAAGGGGUGGGCAAGUCUGGUGUCAGCCGCCGCGGUAAUACCAGCACCUCGAGUGGUCAGGAGGUUUAUUGGGCCUAAAGCAUCCGUAGCCGGCUACGCAAGUCUCCGGUUAAAUCCAGCUGCUCAACAGAUGGGCUGCCGGAGAUACUACAUAGCUAGGGAGCGGGAGAGGUAGACGGUAUUCUGUGGGUAGGGGUAAAAUCCACUGAUCCAUAGAGGACCACCAGUGGCGAAGGCGGUCUACCAGAACGCGUUCGACGGUGAGGGAUGAAAGCUGGGGGAGCAAACCGGAUUAGAUACCCGGGUAGUCCCAGCUGUAAACGAUGCAAACUCGGUGAUGCAUUGGCUUAUGGCCAAUGCAGUGCCGCAGGGAAGCCGUUAAGUUUGCCGCCUGGGAAGUACGGACGCAAGUCUGAAACUUAAAGGAAUUGGCGGGGGAGCA
rnacentral:rRNA from 1 species